rnacentral:rRNA from 1 species
AACGAACGCUGGCGGCAGGCUUAACACAUGCAAGUUGAACGCCCCGCAAGGGGAGUGGCAGACGGGUGAGUAACACGUGGGAACGUACCCUUUGGUUCGGAAUAACUUGGGGAAACUCAAGCUAAUACCGGAUAAGCCCUUAUGGGGAAAGGUUUACUGCCGAAGGAUCGGCCCGCGUCUGAUUAGCUAGUUGGUGAGGUAAUGGCUCACCAAGGCGACGAUCAGUAGCUGGUCUGAGAGGAUGAUCAGCCACACUGGGACUGAGACACGGCCCAGACUCCUACGGGAGGCAGCAGUGGGGGAUAUUGGACAAUGGGGGCAACCCUGAUCCAGCCAUGCCGCGUGAGUGAUGAAGGCCUUAGGGUUGUAAAGCUCUUUUACCCGGGACGAUAAUGACUGUACCGGGAGAAUAAGCCCCGGCUAACUUCGUGCCAGCAGCCGCAGUAA